ACCGGGCGACUUGAGUGCAGAAGAGGACAGUGGAACUCCAUGUGUAGCGGUGGAAUGCGUAGAUAUAUGGAAGAACACCAGUGGCGAAGGCGGCUGUCUGGUCUGCAACUGACGCUGAGGCUCGAAAGCAUGGGUAGCGAACAGGAUUAGAUACCCUGGUAGUCCAUGCCGUAAACGAUGAGUGCUAGGUGUUGGAGGGUUUCCGCCCUUCAGUGCCGGAGCUNACGCAUUAAGCACUCCGCCUGGGGAGUACGACCGCAAGGUUGAAACUCAAAGGAAUUGACGGGGGCCCGCACAAGCGGUGGAGCAUGUGGUUUAAUUCGAAGCUACGCGAAGAACCUUACCAGGUCUUGACAUCUUGCGCUAACCUUACAGAUAAGGCGUUCCCUUCGGGGACGCAAUGACAGGUGGUGCAUGGUCGUCGUCAGCUCGUGUCGUGA
rnacentral:rRNA from 2 species